CGGCAGGUCCUUGAUGGUUAUCCAUUUUAAAUAUAGCAGUGUACACAUGUCCAUCCCAAGCUCCUUAACUAUCCUUGCCCCCCAACCUCCCCCUCCCACCCACGCCAUUCCCCUGGAAACCAUUAGUUCAUUCUCUAAGCCUGUGAGUCUCUUUCUGUUUUGUAAGUGAGUUCAUUUGUAUAAUUUCUUUUUCGAUUCUGCGUAUAAGGGAUGUCAUAGGAUAUUUCUCCUUCUCUGACUUACUUCCCUCAGUAUCUUUUGCACCUGCUGUGGGAUGGCUUCUGGGAGGAAGGCUGGGCAGAUGAGGGUCAUGUGAUUUUUGUUUUCCUAUAUUGGAAAGCAGUGCUGUUUGGAAAGGGAUUAUUAUGUAUUAUUUCUAUACUUUUUUGGUGUGUCCCCACAGUACAGAGUAAGGUAGAUAUUGGAUCAAUACAAAGCAUCACUUUCUAGCAAAGCAUUUUGAUUAAAAACAUGGCUUGAAGCCCAGAUCUAGCACCUACUAGCUGGGGAGUCUCAGGAAAAUUUACUUCUGUGGGCCUCAGUCUCUUCAACAGGAAAAUGGGAGAACUGUAAUGAAGCUUCNNNNNNNNNNNNNNNNNNNNNNNNNNNNNNNNNNNNNNNNNNNNNNNNNNNNNNNNNNNNNNNNNNNNNNNNNNNNNNNNNNNNNNNNNNNNNNNNNNNGGAAAAUGGGAGAACUGUAAUGAAGCUUCAUAACCUCACACUCUGAAGAUUUAAAGGAGGGUGUAGAAGAAUAUGAGUAGUACAUGGUUAGGGCAAUUCAGUGAAGAGUGGGCAUUAUUGCUAGGACAUAUGAUAGCAAGGGUAGCAAUAGGAAGAAAAAUUAGUUGUACUAUAAAAUCAAACUGGUCUACAGUGGGAUGGGACAGUUGGGAGGUAGUGAGUGCAUCAUUAAGCUUGGAGAUUUUGGCAACAGCUGGGAGGCUGCCUUCUUUUCAGGAGUGCUGUCUGGAGAUAUCUGGGUGAGAUUUAGAAAUCACCACUGAGUAGAUUCAGUGAUCCGCAAACUUGGCUGUCCCAUCUAAACCAUCUCUAAAAAUAACAGUUGUUUUUGAAAAUAUUCACUGCAAGUAACUCAAGCAACACUGGUGUUCAGAGAAGAAUUUUAAAAAUAAUUCAUAAUCUCACAACCUCAAAAUAACCUUCUUGAACAGGAGGAGAAAAAUCACUAAAGAAUCUUUCUAUGGGUAUAUACAGCUAGAAGGAUGCAUAGAUCAUAGAUUGGCAGGAAUAAUUUUAGAAUAAUAGGAUCAUCCUGAUGUUAACAGAGUAUUAAUUUCUUUGGCUUAAUUUUCCAAUAGGGCACAUUGGAAGGAAAUGUUGAGCUCUGGAUAAAUGUUUCUCCAUUGAAACAGAUAAUUUUCUAAAAGAUCUCACUAAGGUAAUGAAAAAUUUUAAGAGGUGGGAGUCAUUACUUUCUUAUUUUAUAAAAUUUUACUGAAGUAUACAGUUGAUUUACAAUGUUGCGUUAAUUUCUGCUGCACAGAGUGACUCACUCUCUGUUAACUGUUUAGAAUUUUAGACUUUUGAGUCCAUACCAUUAAACGAUGAAGAAAUCAGCACUCAUAUUCUUUUUAUUUUUCUUUCUAGCAUUCAUAUUCUUCAUCUUACCUUCUGCCUCUGGCUUAUUUUAGUAAGAGUAUUGCUUUUAUGUUGUUAAGAUUGAUGAUAUUUAAUAAGUUCCAAAGUUGUUUGGUCUCGAGCCUUUCCCCUAUGUAGGAAUCCAGUUUUCACAUGUAUUAUUUCUGUCUCCAAUUUGUUCAGCAAUCUGAAGUGCUGUUAUUUUGGUCUUCAGUUUGUUUUCUUUGAUCUAACUUCUUUGUCGUCCAACUUUCUUGUGUUAUUGAACAUAUAUUCUGAUUAAUGUCUGCUGCAGUAUUAAACACUAGUUGGAAGUUUCCUGUUUCUUUGGUUCUGUUUUUAUCAAGACAGGAUUCUUCAUCUUCUGUAUGCUUUAUCCCAUAUUUUUCACCGGUAGUAUCUGUAUACAUACAAGUACCAUGAUAUUUUUUAACUUGCUUAUGCUGAACUUGGGUAGCAUUGUCUGAUCCUUCUAAUUGCUCUGAUCCUGUGGGCAAACGCUUUAUGACUCUUUUUGGAGCUUACUCAAAGUCUCUGCCUUGGUGUCUGAGCUGUAGUUUGAGAUGACUUCCGAUGUCCGCUGUAGGGAACGUGGGAAUCUGGGAGGGUCAGGGCUCAGAGCUGCGUGUUCUUUUGGGUAGGGCUGCAUGCUGCUCUCCUGACAGUUUGCUAAGUGUCCUGUUCCAGGGUUCCUUCCGCCCAUGGGGGAUGUACCGUCUUCCAUGGGGAGAUGCCCUUGACAUUUAGAUGAUCUCCUUAGUUAGGCAUUGAGCCCUGGAGUCUGCACUUCUAUGAGAGAGACAGAGGGAGGGACCCCAGCGCUCCAUAGCACUGCUUUACAGCCCUCUUCCUAGCAGUUCUGAUUAGUCGCCUCAACUUUUUCCAUAUCAAGUCAGAAAAGGGGAAAAACAGCAAUGUAGACAGGCUAUGGUUUUUCCAGUGGUCAUGUAUGGAUGUGAGAGUUGGA
ensembl:lncRNA